UGGGGAAUUUUGGACAAUGGGCGCAAGCCUGAUCCAGCCAUGCCGCGUGCGGGAAGAAGGCCUUCGGGUUGUAAACCGCUUUUGUCAGGGAAGAAAUCUUCUGAGUUAAAUACCUCGGGAGGAUGACGGUACCUGAAGAAUAAGCACCGGCUAACUACGUGCCAGCAGCCGCGGUAAUACGUAGGGUGCAAGCGUUAAUCGGAAUUACUGGGCGUAAAGCGUGCGCAGGCGGUUUUGUAAGACAGAGGUGAAAUCCCCGGGCUCAACCUGGGAACUGCCUUUGUGACUGCAAGGCUUGAGUGCGGCAGAGGGGGGAUGGAAUUCCGCGUGUAGCAGUGAAAUGCGUAGAUAUGCGGAGGAACACCGAUGGCGAAGGCAAUCCCCCUGGGCCUGCACUGACGCUCAUGCACGAAAGCGUGGGGAGCAAACAGGGUUAGAUACCCUGGGUAGUCCACGCCCUAAACGAUGUCAACUGGUUGUUGGGAAGGUUCCUUCUCAGUAAACGUAGCUAACGCGUGAAGUUGGACCGCCUGGGGGAGUACGGCCGCAAGGUUGAAACUC
rnacentral:rRNA from 1 species